ACUCAAAGGAAUAGACGGGGGCCCGCACAAGCGGCGGAGCAUGUUGCUUAAUUCGAUGCAACGCGAAGAACCUCACCUAGGUUGAACUAUGCAGGAAAAGCCAUGGAGACAUGGUGUCCUUCGGGGCCUGCGAUAGGUGGUGCAUGGCUGUCGUCAGCUCGUGUCGUGAGAUGUUGGGUUAAGUCCCGCAACGAGCGCAACCCUUGUUCUGUGUUGCCAGCGCGUAAUGGCGGGGACUCGCAGGAGACUGCCGGGGUCAACUCGGAGGAAGGUGGGGACGACGUCAAGUCAUCAUGCCCCUUACGUCUAGGGCUGCAAACAUGCUACAAUGGCUGGUACAACGUGCUGCGAGACCGCGAGGUUUAGCGAAUCACUUAAAGCCAGUCUCAGUUCGGAUUGGAGUCUGCAACUCGACUCCAUGAAGCUGGAGUCGCUAGUAAUCCCGGAUCAGCAUUGCCGGGGUGAAUACGUUCCCGGGCCUUGUACACACCGCCCGU
rnacentral:rRNA from 1 species